UACGAAGGGGGCUAGCGUUGCUCGGAAUCACUGGGCGUAAAGGGCGCGUAGGCGGCGUUUUAAGUCGGGGGUGAAAGCCUGUGGCUCAACCACAGAAUGGCCUUCGAUACUGGGACGCUUGAGUAUGGUAGAGGUUGGUGGAACUGCGAGUGUAGAGGUGAAAUUCGUAGAUAUUCGCAAGAACACCGGUGGCGAAGGCGGCCAACUGGACCAUUACUGACGCUGAGGCGCGAAAGCGUGGGGAGCAAACAGGAUU
rnacentral:rRNA from 1 species